rnacentral:tRNA from 1 species
AAGGAAGUGGCAGAGUGGUUAUGUAGGUGGCUUGAAACCACUAAAUGGGGGUUCAAUUCCUCCCUUCCUCG